rnacentral:rRNA from 1 species
GACAGAGGGUGCAAGCGUUGUUCGGAAUUAUUGGGCGUAAAGGGCGCGUAGGCGGCUCGAUAAGUCGGAUGUGAAAGCCCAGGGCUUAACCUUGGAAGUGCAUCCGAAACUGUCAGGCUUGAGUCCCGGAGAGGGUGGUGGAAUUCCCAGUGUAGAGGUGAAAUUCGUAGAUAUUGGGAGGAACAUCGGUGGCGAAGGCGACCACCUGGACGGAGACUGACGCUGAGGCGCGAAAGCGUGGGGAGCAAACAGG